UACGCACGCUGGCGGCGUGCUUAACACAUGCAAGUCGAACGGAAAGGCCCUGCUUUUGUGGGGUGCUCGAGUGGCGAACGGGUGAGUAACACGUGAGUAACCUGCCCUUGACUUUGGGAUAACUUCAGGAAACUGGGGCUAAUACCGGAUAGGAGCUCCUGCUGCAUGGUGGGGGUUGGAAAGUUUCGGCGGUUGGGGAUGGACUCGCGGCUUAUCAGCUUGUUGGUGGGGUAGUGGCUUACCAAGGCUUUGACGGGUAGCCGGCCUGAGAGGGUGACCGGCCACAUUGGGACUGAGAUACGGCCCAGACUCCUACGGGAGGCAGCAGUGGGGAAUAUUGCACAAUGGGCGGAAGCCUGAUGCAGCAACGCCGCGUGCGGGAUGACGGCCUUCGGUUUGUAAACCGCUUUCGCCUGUGACGAAGCGUGAGUGGCGGUAAUGGGUAAAGAAGCACCGGCUAACUACGUG
rnacentral:rRNA from 1 species